rnacentral:rRNA from 1 species
AAGGAAUAUUGGACAAUGGAGGCAACUCUGAUCCAGCCAUGCCGCGUGAAGGAUGAAGGUGCUAUGCAUUGUAAACUUCUUUUGAACGGGAGAAAACCCUCGGUCGUGCAUCGAGGCUGAUAGUACCGUUAGAAUAAGGGUCGGCUAACUUCGUGCCAGCAGCCGCGGUAAUACGAAGGACCCGAGCGUUAUCCGGAUUCAUUGGGUUUAAAGGGUGCGUAGGCGGAACGGUAAGUCAGUGGUGAAAGCCUGUUGCUUAACAACAGAACUGCCAUUGAUACUGCCGAUCUUGAGUACAUAUGAUGUGGGCGGAAUGUGCCAUGUAGCGGUGAAAUGCUUAGAUAUGGCACAGAACACCGAUUGCGAAGGCAGCUCACAAAACUGUUACUGACGCUGAGGCACGAAAGCGUGGGGAUCAAAC